rnacentral:rRNA from 1 species
AACGGAUUUGGCGGCAAAAUAGCCCUUCUAGAGGAACCUGCCCUGUGAACGACGGUCCACGAUUAACCUUACUUUUAUUAGUAAUCAGUUUGUAUAUCGCUGUUGUCAGUUAGUUUUUUUAGAAAACUUUCUUAAAUGGGAAAACCAUUAACUUCAAGUAAAGGUGCAGCUUAUAUAAAAGAGAGAGGUGGGUUACAAUUAAUUGGAUUAAUUAUACGGAUGUUGAGUUGAAAAUUUGGCUUAAGGUGGAUUUAGGAGUAAAUUUAUUUAAGAUUUGAUAUGAGCACUGUUUUGUGUACACAC